rnacentral:rRNA from 1 species
GGGGGUUUAGACGGCCACGUAUUAGAGUUUGAUCCUGGCUCAGGACGAACGCUGGCGGCGUGCCUAAUACAUGCAAGUAGAACGCUGAAAUAAGAGCUUGCUCUUAUGGAUGAGUUGCGAACGGGUGAGUAACACGUGGGGAACCUACCUUCUAGCGGGGGAUAACACAUAGAAAUGUGUGCUAAUACCGCAUAAUAGUAUUUGAUGCAUAUCAGAUACUUGAAAGGCGCAAUUGCGUCACUAGAAGAUGGCCCCGCGGUGCAUUAGCUAGUUGGUGAGGUAACGGCUCACCAAGGCAAUGAUGCAUAGCCGACCUGAGAGGGUGAUCGGCCACACUGGGACUGAGACACGGCCCAGACUCCUACGGGAGGCAGCAGUAGGGAAUCUUCGGCAAUGGACGCAAGUCUGACCGAGCAACGCCGCGUGAGUGAAGAAGGUUUUCGGAUCGUAAAACUCUGUUGUAAGAGAAGAACGUUGAUGAGAGUGGAAAGUUCAUCAAGUGACGGUAUCUUACCAGAAAGCCACGGCUAACUACGUGCCAGCAGCCGCGGUAAUACGUAGGUGGCAAGCGUUGUCCGGAUUUAUUGGGCGUAAAGCGAGCGCAGGCGGUUGAUUAAGUCUGAUGUGAAAGCCCCCGGCUCAACCGGGGAGGGUCAUUGGAAACUGGUCAACUUGAGUGCAGAAGAGGAGAGUGGAAUUCCAUGUGUAGCGGUGAAAUGCGUAGAUAUAUGGAGGAACACCAGUGGCGAAGGCGGCUCUCUGGUCUGUAACUGACGCUGAGGCUCGAAAGCGUGGGGAGCGAACAGGAUUAGAUACCCUGGUAGUCCACGCCGUAAACGAUGAGUGCUAAGUGUUGGAGGGUUUCCGCCCUUCAGUGCUGCAGCUAACGCAUUAAGCACUCCGCCUGGGGAGUACGACCGCAAGGUUGAAACUCAAAGGAAUUGACGGGGGCCCGCACAAGCGGUGGAGCAUGUGGUUUAAUUCGAAGCAACGCGAAGAACCUUACCAGGUCUUGACAUCCUUUGACCACCUCAGAGAUGAGGCUUUCCCUUCGGGGACAAAGUGACAGGUGGUGCAUGGUUGUCGUCAGCUCGUGUCGUGAGAUGUUGGGUUAAGUCCCGCAACGAGCGCAACCCUUAUUGUUAGUUGCCAUCAUUAAGUUGGGCACUCUAGCGAGACUGCCGGUGAUAAACCGGAGGAAGGUGGGGAUGACGUCAAAUCAUCAUGCCCCUUAUGACCUGGGCUACACACGUGCUACAAUGGGAAGUACAACGAGUCGCAAAGUCGCGAGGCUAAGCAAAUCUCUUAAAGCUUCUCUCAGUUCGGAUUGUAGGCUGCAACUCGCCUACAUGAAGCCGGAAUCGCUAGCAAUCGCGGAUCAGCACGCCGCGGUGAAUACGUUCCCGGGCCUUGUACACACCGCCCGUCACACCACGAGAGUUUGUAACACCCGAAGCCGGUGGGCUAACCUUUAUGGAGGCAGCCGUCUAAGGUGGGAUAGAUGAUUGGGGUGAAGUCGUAACAAGGUAACCAAUGUAAUUCAUUGUUCAAUUUU